rnacentral:lncRNA from 1 species
AUCUUUAUACAAGCUCUUCAGCGGGAGAGAAACAAGUGAGAUGGGACUGAGACCCCAGGGCACAGACAGACUCAAACAGGGAGCAGGACGUCCCCAGAGAAGCCCCACAGGAUGUGCAGACCAGACACUCCAACAGCCCGGACCCUGCAGAGCGACUGUGUGUGUGCGAGUCUGUGUGUGCGCGUGUGUGAUGGCGCGAGUGUGCAUUGUGUGUGUAGGUGAGUGUAGGUGUGUGAGUGUGCAUGUGUGUGACUGUAGGUGUGUGCAUGUGUGUAGGUGUGUGUGCACAUGUGAAUGUAGGUGUUUGCAUGUGUGAGUGUAGGGUGUGUGUAGGUGUGUGCGUAGGUGUGUGCGUGAGUGCAUAUGUGUGUGUAGGUGUGUGCAUGUGUGUAGGUGUGUGUAGGUGUGUGCGCACAUGUGAAUGUAGGUGUUUGCAUGUGUGAGUGUAGGUGUGUGUGCGCGCGUGUGUGUGAAUGUGUGAGCGUGUGUGUGCGUGUGUUCACAUACCUGGAACACAUCCACUGAAUGACACUGGAAGCCGUAACCACGGAAUCACACAAAAGCUCAGAAAUAUUCAGAAUUCAAUCAAAAAUACUGGUCAGAGUUUUGUGACGCUACAAAGCUUAUGAACGAACGCACAGUUCCUUCAGAGGUUUUUCGGCCCAGCCUGGCCACAUUUAAAUAUCCUCAGAGGCAAAG